rnacentral:rRNA from 1 species
AGUUUCUGAUUAUGGCUCAGAUUGAACGCUGGCGGGAUGCUUUACAUGCAAGUCGAACGGCCUUUGGACUUCAGUCUGGUGGCGAGUGGCGAACAGGUGAGUAAUGUAUCGGAACGUGCCUAGUAACGGGGAUAACCUACGCGAAAGCGUAGCGCCGCGCCGCGCCCUUCGGGGAAAGCGGGGGACCUUCGGGCCUCGCACUAUUAGAGCAGCCGAUAUCGGAUUAGCUAGUUGGUGGAGUAACGGCUCACCAAGGCGACGAUCCGUAGCUGGUUUGAAGGACGACCAGCCACACUGGGACUGAGACACGGCCCAGACUCCUACAGAGGCAACGGUGGGGAAUUUUGGACAAUGGGGAAACCUGAUCAACCAUCCCGCAUGGUGUGCGAUGAAGUAACCUACAGGUUCAAAGCACUUUUGGCAGGAAAGAAACGGCACGGGAUAAUACCCAGCUGAAAAACUGACCAGUCACCCUGCAGAAUAGCGCAGCUAGCACUGAUCUGUAGCCGCUGACAUCGUGAAAGUGCAGCGUUAAUCAGGAUUACUGGGCGUAAAGCGUGCGCAGGCGGUUCGGAAGAAAGAUGUGAAAUCCCAGGCUUAACUUUGGAACUGCAUUUUUUAACUACCGAGCUAGAGUGUGUCAGAGGGAGGUGGAAUUCCCGCGUGUAGCAGUGAAAUGCGUGAUGUCUUGCGGAGGAACACCGAUAUGGCGAAGGCAGCCUCCCGGGAUAACGCGACGCUCAUGCACGAAAGCGUGGGGAACAAACAGGAUUAGAUACCCUGGUAGUCCACGCCCUAAACGAUGUCAACUAGCUGUUGGGGCCUUCGGGCCUUGUUAGCGCAGCUAACGCGUGAAGUUGACCGCCUGGGAGUACGGUCAUAGAUUAAAACUCAAGGAAUUGACGGGGACCCGCACAAGCGGUGGAUGUGGAUUAAUUCGAUGCAACGCGAAAAACCGCCACCUCCCUUCGACACAUCGGAAUCCAAAGAAGAGAUUUGAGGAUGCUCGCAAAAGAACCGGAACAGGUGCUGCAUGGCUGGCGUCAAUCGGCUCAUGUCGUGAGAUGUUGGUUAAGUCCCGCCGCAACGAGCGCAACCGUAUCAUUAGUUGCUACGAAAGGGCACUCUAAUGAGACUGCCGGUGACAAACCGGAGGAAGGUGGGGAUGACGUCAAGUCCUCGUAACCCUUAUGGAGUAGGGCUUCACGUCAUACAAUGGUCGGGACAGAGGGUCGCCAAUACGAGGGGAGCCAAUCCCAGAAACUGAUCGUGAUCCCGGAUCGCAGUCUGCAACUCAGCUGCGUGAAGUCGGAAUCGCUAGUAAUCGCGGAUCAGCAUGUCGCGGUGAAUACGUUCCCGGGUCUUGUACACACCGCCCGUCACACCAUGGGAGUGGGUUUUACCGGUAGUUAGCCUAACCGUAAGGAGGGCGAUUACCACGGUAGGGAUUCAUGACUGGGGUGAAGUCGUAACAAGGUAG